rnacentral:rRNA from 1 species
UACGUAGGGACCAAGCGUUGUUCGGAUUUACUGGGCGUAAAGGGCGCGUAGGCGGCUUGACAAGUCACUUGUGAAAUCUCCGGGCUUAACUCGGAACGGCCAAGUGAAACUGUCAUGCUAGAGUGCAGAAGGGGCAAUCGGAAUUCUUGGUGUAGCGGUGAAAUGCGUAGAUAUCAGGAGGAACACCAAUGGCGAAGGCAGCUCGCUGGAACGGUACUGACGCUGAGGCGCGAAAGCGUGGGGAGCGAACAGG